rnacentral:rRNA from 1 species
GAUGAACGCUGGCGGCGUGCUUAACACAUGCAAGUCGAACGGACUUUACAUGAAACCUAGUGAUUGUAAAGUUAGUGGCGGACGGGUGAGUAACGCGUGGGUAACCUGCCUUGUACAGGGGGACAACAGUUGGAAACGACUGCUAAUACCGCAUAAGCGCACGGAGCUGCAUGGCUCAGUGUGAAAAACUCUGGUGGUACAAGAUGGACCCGCGUCUGAUUAGCUAGUUGGUGAGGUAACGGCCCACCAAGGCGACGAUCAGUAGCCGGCCUGAGAGGGUGAACGGCCACAUUGGGACUGAGACACGGCCCAAACUCCUACGGGAGGCAGCAGUGGGGAAUAUUGCACAAUGGGGGAAACCCUGAUGCAGCGACGCCGCGUGAGUGAAGAAGUAUUUCGGUAUGUAAAGCUCUAUCAGCAGGGAAGAAAAUGACGGUACCUGACUAAGAAGCCCCGGCUAACUACGUG